CAAGCCCAAGUCUUUGUGAUCAGAUGAGCCAACUCCCAGCCUCUACAUUUGUUCUUUCACCCAAAUAUCUUCAUCUUGAAAUUAUAGACCAUUCUAUCAGUACAGGACACCAUGCUCUUCCUUUUGGAUGCUCCUAGCAAAGUCAUAAGAGAGGUACUUACACAGAGCACGUGGAGCACCACUGCUCCCCGUCGUCUGGCCUCAUUGGUGAAGAUGUCUUUGGGAAAUUCAUGCAGAGCUAUGGAAAGAAGAAAGAAAACCAGCUCAUUACAGAGGACCACAUUUUCAGUUCUGGAGAUAUGAGGCUCCUGUUUCUAGCUCUUAUUUUAACACAGGGCAAAUAAACUUGGAUGGGAAACAGUUACAUCAUUGGGGCCCAGGAGUUGGCUCAGCAAAUAAAGUGCAUGUUUGCCAUGUA